rnacentral:rRNA from 1 species
GGGGGGGGGGGGGGGGGGGGGGGGGGGGGGGGGGUGGGGGGGAGGGACGAGGGGCUUGCUUCGCUGAUGUUAGCGGCGGAGGGGUGAGUAACACGUGGAUAACCUACCUAUAAGACUGGGAUAACUUCGGGAAACCGGAGCUAAUACCGGAUGAUAUUUUGAACCGCAUGGUUCAAACGUGAAAGACGGUCUUGCUGUCACUUAUAGAUGGAUCCGCGCUGCAUUAGCUAGUUGGUAAGGUAACGGCUUACCAAGGCAACGAUGCAUAGCGGACCUGAGAGGGUGAUCGGCCACACUGGAACUGAGACACGGUCCAGACUCCUACGGGAGGCAGCGGUAGGGAAUCUUCCGCAAUGGGCGAAAGCCUGACGGAGCAACGCCGCGUGAGUGAUGAAGGUCUUCGGAUCGUAAAACUCUGUUAUUAGGGAAGAACAUAUGUGUAAGUAACUGUGCACAUCUUGACGGUACCUAAUCAGAAAGCCACGGCUAACUACGUG